rnacentral:misc_RNA from 1 species
GUGAAUAUAGCGCAUCUCUUCGGAGAGCGUGACCUCCACUUUCAACUCUGUGCAUUUUUUGGCGAGGGGAACGAGACGAAGCGACGCAAGUUGCAGACUCUCGCCUCUUGCGGCUCUUACAAUCUUAGCCCUUUCUUAUACACCUACCUUUGAUACCUUGUAUCUAUCCAAACCAAGGGGUUGCAUACCCCAGUUAUUACACCGUUAAAUGAUUAUGACAUUCAAAUUUAAAAUAAA